GUAUGUUCUACCCUGAAAAAAAAAACACCCACAGCAGCAAGUCUCAGAGCCUACGUCAACUGACUCAGGCCCACAGGAUUUAUGCUAUGGAGCUAAAAACAGCAGUGUAGAUGAUUGGCUUCAGGGGUAGCCGUG